GCUCGCUCCGGCAGCACAGGAACUACAAUCGGAAUGCCACAGAGAAGACCAGCAUGGGCCCUGAGUGAGGAUGAGAUGCAAAGUCAUGGAGUCUUUGUGUUUUUA